AUUGAACGCUGGCGGCAGGCUUAACACAUGCAAGUCGAGCGAGCGGCGGACAGGUGAGUAAUGUCUGGGACACUGCCAGAUGGAGGGGGAUAACUACUGGAAAAGGUAGCUAAUACCGCAUACCAUCAGAUGUGCCCAGAUGGGAUUAGCGAGUAGGUGGGGUAAUGGCUCACCUAGGCGACGAUCCCUAGCUGGUCUGAGAGGAUGAACAGCCACACUGGAACUGCGACCCGGUCCAGACUCCUACGGGAGGCAGCAGUGGUGAAUAUUGCACAAGUGGCGCAAGCCUGAUGCAGCCAUGCCGCGUGUGUGAAGAAGGCCUUCGGGUUGUAAAGCACUUUCAGCGAGGAGGCGUUACUCGCAGAAGAAGCACCGGCUAACUCCGUGCCAGCAGCCGCGGUAAUUC
rnacentral:rRNA from 1 species